GUGUAGCGGUGAAAUGCGUAGAGAUGUGGAGGAGCACCCGUGGGGAAAGCGGCUUUCUGGUCUGUGUCUGACGCUCAGGCGCGAAAGCGUGGGGAGCGAACAGGAUUAUAUACCCUGGGAGUCCCCCCCCCAAACGAUGAGUGCGAAAUGUGAGAGGGUUUCCCCCCUUUAGUGCUGCAGCUAACGCAUUAAACACUCCCCCCGGGGA
rnacentral:rRNA from 1 species